rnacentral:lncRNA from 1 species
UUGACCUCAUAGUUAAAACCUGGUAAUGUGGUUCACUCAUAAAUCAACUGUUUUUCCUUGCAGAAAACUCAAACAUAAGUCUAAGGAUGGUCUGUCUACCAUGAGCUCAUCUAAUCCACUCCAACGAGCAAAGAAAAAACACUGUUGUGUGUUUUUUCCAUCCAGCUCAGGAGAGAUGAUUCAUGCAUUGAUCAAGAAAGAAACAACCAUCCAUCAAGGUGGGACUACAACCAAAAAGAAGCAGGUGCCAGGCCUGCCAGGGAGGUGGAGAGACCCUCAUCCUGCUCCACCAGCUGAGAGCAAAGCCACCGCUGUGCCCUGCUGAAGAAGAUUCCAGCUUCUUUGCCUUCACCUCCACGGAAUUGAUCUCUUUCUCCACCUCAUCAUUCCAUUCCAUCUUGCAUUUUAGAUGAGCCAUUACUAUCUUAGAGCCCAAGUUUAAGUGCUUUAAAGGAUUCUGAGACCUCACUACUGUGUAGGUUAAUAGGCAUCUUAUUUUGCAUCUUUGUCCACUCAACAAUUUUGGAUUAGAGAAUACAGAGAAAAACUUACUCAGAUCUUUACCUUGAUUAUCUCAAAUAUAAAUUAUUCACGAGAGAGUAAAUAAUCUUAAAUGCAUUGGGCACCGCCAUGAAAAUUACAAGUCCACAAGGCACACUCCUGAAGACAGCUCUCCCUGGAGGCUCUCACUAAGCUCUGGAAUUUAGCUAUUCGCUAGUUCUUUUCUUUCUCAUGGAAGAAAAUCAGCAUGAGGUUUCUGACUGCAUAUAAAGGUCAACUGAUUCUUCUUUGAUGUGGCAGACAUCUUUCAAGGGUCUACUCUGUGCCCAUCUCAUCCGCCUGUGAUAAGAGGAAAACCCAACUUGUCAUAUCAAAGGAAACACUGGGCCCCUCCAACAGAGUAGAUCUGUGCCACCCAAGAGAAGUUUCAUCCUCAGAAUGAGGAACUGAAAAAGGGAAAAAAAACAGAUAAAGAAGACAAGGGCAGAAAGAAAAUAAAA